GACACACCAACCACUCCAUUUCAGAACGAACUUCGUAUGAACCUGAAUUGUCCAAUUUAAUGGACCAAUCGAUAUCGGAUUGAGUCCAAAACUUGGGGAACAUUAUAAUACGAUGGGAGGAGUCAUUUGGUGACUUUUGAGUGAAGUCCAAUGGCUAAAACUAUGCCAUACACUAACCACUCCAUUUCAGAACGAAUUUCGUACGAACCUGAAUAGUCCAGUUUCAUGGACUAAUAGAUAUCGGAUUGAG
rnacentral:lncRNA from 1 species